UGAGUAACACGUAUCCAACCUGCCGUCUACUCUUGGACAGCCUUCUGAAAGGAAGAUUAAUACAAGAUGGCAUCAUGAGUUCACAUGUUCACAUGAUUAAAGGUAUUCCGGUAGACGAUGGGGAUGCGUUCCAUUAGAUAGUAGGCGGGGUAACGGCCCACCUAGUCUUCGAUGGAUAGGGGUUCUGAGAGGAAGGCCCCCACAUUGGAACUGAGACACGGUCCAA
rnacentral:rRNA from 1 species